rnacentral:misc_RNA from 1 species
GAUUUUGAGCGCUGCUAGUUUGACUAGCUCGUUCGUAAUACAUUAGCAUCUCUAAUUCGAAUUCGGAUUGACUCAGUGUAAUAGACUAUUCGCUGAGGACACUUUUAUUAGUGGCCGUAUGAGAAACAGUAGACGCUUCCAACCCUAGUAGUCACUUUGAUUUAGACCUCAGAUCAGGCAGGAUUACCCGCUGAACUUAA